AGGAUUGGUUCAAGGAUUAGGCACAAAUAUGGAGCAUUUAUGCCAUGCCUGGAACAUCGUGUUCAGUAAAUGGAUAUGGCGAGACUGUGUAUUGUUAGAUUUGAGCCCUGCUGUGCCUUAGUCCCAGGUACUCAGGAGGCUGAGGCUGGAGGAUUGCUUGAGCCCAGGAGUGCUGUGCUGAUGGGAUGUUUGCACUAAGUGCAGCAUCAAUGUGGUGACCUCCUGGGAACAGGAGACUCCCAGGUUGCCUAAGGAGGGGUGACCUGGCCCAGGCUGGAGUGCAGUGGUGCAGUCAUGGCUCGCUGCAGCCUCGACUUCCCAGCUCAAACAGUUCUGCAUCAGUCUCCCGAGUAGCUGGGACUACAGGCACACACUACCAUGCCCGGCUAAUUUUUUUUUUAAUUUUGUAUUUUGUAGAGAGGGGGUCUCACUAUGUUUGUUGUCCAGGCUUACGUGUGAGUUUUAAAUAAACCAUUUCUUUUUCUUUCAGAUUUCCACAAGACGGCACCCUAUGUCGUCACUGGCAGCGUAGAUCAAACAGUAAAAGUGUGGGAGUGCCGUUGAUUGCAUCUCCUUCGGCCCCUCCUCCCUCUUUUCCUCUGGAUGCACUCUGAUGAUA
rnacentral:sRNA from 1 species